UACGUAGGGCGCAAGCGUUGUCCGGAAUUAUUGGGCGUAAAGAGCUCGUAGGCGGUUUGUCGCGUCUGCUGUGAAAACCUAAGGCUCAACCUUGGGCUUGCAGUGGGUACGGGCAGACUAGAGUGCGGUAGGGGUGACUGGAAUUCCUGGUGUAGCGGUGGAAUGCGCAGAUAUCAGGAGGAACACCGAUGGCGAAGGCAGGUCACUGGGCCGCAACUGACGCUGAGGAAGCGAAAGCAUGGGGAGCGAACAGG
rnacentral:rRNA from 1 species